rnacentral:rRNA from 1 species
UACGUAGGUGGCAAGCGUUGUCCGGAUUUACUGGGCGUAAAGAGCUCGCAGGCGGUCGUGCAAGUCGCGUGUGAAAGCCCCCGGCUCAACUGGGGAGGGUCAUUCGAUACUGUUCAACUUGAAGGCAGGAGAGGGAAGCAGAAUUCCCGGUGUAGUGGUGAAAUGCGUAGAUAUCGGGAGGAAUACCAGUGGCGAAGGCGGCUUCCUGGCCUGUUCUUGACGCUGAGGCGCGAAAGCUAGGGGAGCGAACAGG